rnacentral:misc_RNA from 1 species
GAUGAAGAACGCAGCGAAAUGCGAUAAGUAAUGUGAAUUGCAGAAUUCAGUGAAUCAUCGAAUCUUUGAACGCACAUUGCGCCCGCCAGUAUUCUGGCGGGCAUGUCUGUUCGAGCGUCAUUUCAACCAUCAAGCCCUGCUUGCGUUGGGGUCCUGCGGCUGCCCGCAGGCCCUGAAAACCAGUGGCGGGCUCGCUAGUCACACCGAGCGCAGUAAUACAUCUCGCUUUGGGCGUGCGGCGGGUUCUUGCCGUUAAACACCCCCUUUUUACCAAGGUUGACCUCGGAUCAGGUAGGAAUACCCGCUGAACUUAAGCAUAUCAAUAAGCGGAGGA